GCGCAUCUGUGCAUGCAGCAUAUCAAUAAGCGGAGGAAAAGAAACUAACAAGGAUUCCCCUAGUAACGGCGAGUGAAGGCGGGAAGAGCUCAAAUUUGAAAUCUUAAAGGGUUUCCCUUUACGAAUUGUAGUUUAAAGAAGUGUUUUCUGUUGAGGUUUUGGUAAAAGUUCUUUGGAAUAGGACAUCAUAGAGGGUGAGAAUCCCGUAUUUGACCUUUACUUUCAACUUUGUGAUACACUUUCAAAGAGUCGGAUUGUUUGGGAAUGCAGUCCAAAAUGGGUGGUAAAUUUCAUCUAAAGCUAAAUAUUGGCGAGAGACCGAUAGCGAACAAGUACCGUGAGGGAAAGAUGAAAAGAACUUUGAAAAGAGAGUUAAACAGUACGUGAAAUUGUCAAAAGGGAAGCGUUUGACACCAGUGUUGUUUUUCUGAAAAUCAAUUAAAGAACUGUUUAUGCUAAGCUGUUUAGACUUUAUCAGCUAACUGUUUAGUUUUGAGCUUUUCUUUAAUGCACUUUUCAGUUAACAAGUCAACAUCAAUUUCUUUUGCUGUAAAAAAGCUUGAGGAAGGUGGCUUGAGAUUCGUCUUAAGUGUUUAUAGCCUCUUGCCUACUGCAGUCGGAGAGAUUGAGGUCUGCAGCGUAGAUCCUUCGGGGCUAAAUGCAUUUGUGCUAAGUUAUAGCAUUUUAUAGACAACUUGUUGACUAUGAUUUGUCUUGUAGCUUACUCGCUUAUGUUAUUUUACCUACGCUUAGGAUGUUGAACGCGCACAGAGUCUC
rnacentral:rRNA from 1 species